AGCAGCCGCGGUAAUUCCAGCUCCAAUAGCGUAUAUUAAAGUUGUUGCAGUUAAAAAGCUCGUAGUUGAAUUUCGGGAUUAAUAUGUUGGUCGUGCCUUGGUACGUACUGGCAUUAUUGAUUCCUACCUUCUGAAGAACCUCGAUGUCAUUAAUUUGGUGUCUUGGGGAAUCAGGACCGUUACUUUGAAAAAAUUAGAGUGUUUAAAGCAGGCUCGCGCUUGAAUACAUUAGCAUGGAAUAAUGAAAUAGGACGUUUGAUUCUAUUUUGUUGGUUUCUAGGAUCGACGUAAUGAUUAAUAGGGAUAGUUGGGGGCAUUAGUAUUCAAUUGUCAGAGGUGAAAUUCUUGGAUUUAUUGAAGACUGACUACUGCGAAAGCAUUUGCCAAGGAUGUUUUCAUUAAUCAAGAACGAAAGUUAGGGGAUCGAAGACGAUCAGAUACCGUCGUAGUCUUAACCAUAAACUAUGCCGACUAGGGAUCGGAUGAUGUUAAUUUUUAAUGUACUCAUUCGGCGCCUUAA
rnacentral:sRNA from 1 species